AUGGAUUUCAUUACAUAUUUACAUGUUUCCUUUGGUCACAACAUGAUCUGGGUGAUUUGCAACAUAUUAACAAAGUUUUGUCACUUCAUUGGACUCCCCACCAAGUUUUCAGCUAAAGAUCUGGCCUUGAGAUUCUCCGUCGAGAUAUGUUGUUUGCAUGGAAUCCCCAAAACCAUCAUCUCUGAUUGUGAUCCACCGUUUGUCAGCACCUUUUGGAAAAAGUUAUUUCAUGCUCAAGGCACCACUCUAAAGUACAACACUACAUAUCACCCUGAAAUAGAUGGACAGUCAGAAGUCGUAAAUCGUUGUUUAGAGACGUAUCUUCAUUGUUUUACAAGCAACAAACCCAAAACAUGGUUUAAUUACUUACAUCUGGAAGAAUAUUAG